CAUUAAAAAAUUUUUUUUUAAUUUUUUAGUUAAAAAAAAAGAAAUUUUUUUACACAGUUAAAAAAAAAAAUUGUGAGAAGAAGUUACAUUCCAUCGAAUGUUGAAUUAUUUCCCUGAGACUCCAGGAGCAACUCUCAACAUUACAAUGUAGUUACUAUUUCAACCACGGUCCCAGAGGGAGGAUGAUGAAGCAGAGUCCUCCAAUCGACUCACAAUGAAAUGUAGUAUUUUACCUGAGAAAUCCCCAAGGUUGCAAACCAACACCAUCUUAAGCAGCACCAUCGUGCCAAAGAGGUGGCCAAAGACCAUCACCCAAGCAGCAUUAGAAGAAGCAGGGAGCAGGAAUCUCCAUUAAGUAAUGGAUUCUAGCUUUGUCUCAAGGAGCAGCGCUGAUUCCUGCUUUGGGAGAGAGUAACAGCAGAUGCAGCCAUUCAACCCAUCAAUGAAAAUAGCAGGAGCACAAGUUUAAAAGACAACCUUGUUUCUUUUACAAGAUGUGUUUACGAGAGCAGUGAAAUACAAUCACGUUGAGAAACUGCAGCACCAAGAGGUCACACGGCUCUGGCUUGGUGGAAAAUGGGUGAAGAAAAAAAGCAUUGUCCCUGGGUCUGCAGGCCAGUCUUCAGGGACCCCUGCACCCAGUUACACUCACUGGCACCACUAACUGAGAUCAGGCAACAUAACGUUUUCUUUAGGAAUCACACACCCAGAAGGAGCUGGCAUUCAUCUGUAAUUCCUCAUGUCUCCCAAGCUUCUGCAAAGGCUCACCUACUUAAUUCUGAAAUAUAAUUUUGAGAUUGGACAUGAGUAAUUGACAGGCUGAUAUUUUUCUCUGCACAAGAAAAAUAAAAAGGAUACAAAUUCAAGUUUGUGAGAAAAUAAAUUUAAAAAAAAGUCCUCUAACCAUGUAACGUGGUUGGUUAUGUUAUUCUUUUAAGUAACAUUAUAUAGUUCAAUUAGUUAUGACAAGUAAUUUUUAAAAAUGCAAAGAAAGAAAACACAUGAAGAAAGAAAACAAUGCCUUACAGUGUCAUAUACAUUUAUGAUUUAUAGGAAACUUCACAUCCCCCUAACUGAUCUUCAAAAAAUUGUAGAAUUGAAGGCAGGUAUUAUCACUGCAUUUUAUAAAUGAGAAGACUAAGA